GAUCUACACUUGGCCAGGAUGAAGUCCCGGUAACACGGGAUGGAGGUCCGCACCAAUAAGCGUUGAAAAGCUUCUGGAUGAGCCGAGUGUAGGAGUGAAAGGCCAAUCAAACUUGGAGAUAGCUCGUACUCCCCGAAAGGCAUUUAGGUGCCGCGUCGGAUGGUCACCGUGAGAGGUAGAGCGACCGAUAGGACAAGAGGGCUUCACCGCCUAUCGAGUCCUGACGAACUCCGAAUGCUCACGGUCUGCAGUCCGGCAGUAAGGGGGCGGGUGCUAAGGUCCGUCCCCGAGAGGAGAAGAAUCCAGACCGCCGUCUAAGUGCCCGGAGAUCUGCCUGAGUUAGUAUAACGAAGUCUAGUCCCUAUGACAGCAAGGAUGAUGGCUUGGAAGCAGCCAUUCAUUCAAAGAGUGCGUAAACAGCUCACUAGUCGAGGGUC
rnacentral:rRNA from 1 species